rnacentral:lncRNA from 1 species
AUGGUAGUCAGAGCAGGUGUUGUCGUUGUAGGAGCAUGGGUUAUGGUUGUAGGAGCAGGGGUUGUGGUAGUUGGAGCCGGGGUUGUGGUAGUUGGAGCCGGGGUUGUUGUAGUGGGAGCCGGUGUUGUUGUUGUCGGAGCUGCAGUUGUUGUAGUGGGAGCCGGUGUUGUCGUGGUUGGGGCAGGUGUUGUUGUGGUCGGCGCCGGGGUUGUUGUAGUAGGAGCAGGGGUUGUCGUAGUUGGAGCCGGGGUUGUUGUAGUUGGAGCAGGGGUUGUUGUAGUGGGAACCGGUGUUGUUGUGGUCGGGGCAGGUGUUGUAGUUGUAGGAGCAGGGGUUGUGGUAGUUGGAGCAGGAGUUGUCGUUGUCGGAGCAGGGGUUGUCGUAGUCGGAGCUGAUGUUGUUGUAGUUGGAGCAGGUGUUGUGGUAGUCAGAGCAGGUGUUGUCGUUGUUGGAGCUGGGGUUGUCGUUGUUGGAGCUGGGGUUGUCGUUGUUGGAGCAGGGGUUGUCGUUGUAGGAGCAGGAGUGGUCGUAGUCAGAGCCUGUGUUGUUGUAGGAGCAGGAGUUGUCGUAGUCAGAGCUGGUGUUGUCGUAGUUGGAGCUGGGGUUGUCGUUGUUGGAGCAGGGGUUGUCGUUGUUGGAGCAGGGGUUGUCGUAGUGGGAGCAGGAGUGGUCGUAGUGGGAACAGGAGUGGUUGUAGUGGGAGCCUGUGUUGUCGUAGUCGGAGCCUGUGUUGUCGUAGUCGGAGCCUGUGUUGUCGUAGUCGGAGCCUGUGUUGUCGUAGUCGGAGCCGGUGUUGUCGUAGUCGGAGCAGGAGUUGUCGUAGUCGGAGCAGGUGUUGUGGUUGUAGGAGCAGGGGUUGUGGUUGUAGGAGCAGGGGUUGUGGUUGUAGGAGCAGGGGUUGUGGUAGUUGGAGCCGGGGUUGUUGUAGUUGGAGCCGGGGUUGUUGUAGUGGGAGCCAGUGUUGUUGUUGUCGGAGCUGGAGUUGUUGUUGUCGGAGCUGGAGUUGUUGUAGUGGGAGCCGAUGUUGUCGUGGUUGGGGCAGGUGUUGUUGUGGUCGGCACCAGGGUUGUCGUAGUAGGAGCAGGGGUUGUCGUAGUUGGAGCUGGGGUUGUUGUAGUUGGAGCCGGGGUUGUUGUAGUUGGAGCAGGGGUUUUUGUAGUGGGAGCCGGUGUUGUUGUGGUCGGGGCAGGUGUUGUAGUUGUAGGAGCAGGAGUGGUCGUAGUCGGAGCCUCUGUUGUCGUAGGAGCAGGAGUUGUCGUAGUCGGAGCUGGUGUUGUCGUAGUCGGAGCAGUUGUUGUCGUUGUAGGAGCAGGGGUUGUGGUAGUCGGAGCAGGGGUUGUCGUAGUCAGAGCUGAUGUUGCUGUAGUUGGAGCAGGUGUUGUCGUUGUCGGAGCUGGGGUUGUCGUUGUUGGAGCUGGGGUUGUCGUUGUCGGAGCAGGGGUUGUCGUUGUCGGAGCAGGAGUGGUCGUAGUAGGAGCAGGAGUGGUCGUAGUCGGAGCCGGUGUUGUCGUAGUUGGAGCAGGAGUUGUUGUGGUUGUAGGAGCAGUGGUUGUGGUAGUUGGAGCCGGGGUUGUUGUAGUGGGAGCCGGUGUUGUUGUUGUCGGAGCUGGAGUUGUUGUUGUGGGAGCAGGAGUUGUCGUGGUUGGGGCAGGCGUUGUCGUGGUUGGCGCAGGUGUUGUUGUUGUUGGAGGAGGGGUUGUCGUAGUUGGAGCCGGUGUUGUUGUUGUAGGAGUAGGAGUUGUCGUAGUUGUUUUUUGGGUUUUGUGUGGGGCGGUGUUGUGUGGGACCGGUGUUGUCGGUGGAGCAGGGGUUGUCGUAGUUGGAGCAGGAGUUGUUGUAGUUGCAGCAGGUGUUGUGGUUGUAGGAGCAGGGGUUGUGGUCGUAGGAGCAGGGGUUGUCGUAGUUUGA